CAAUAGCGUAUAUUAAAGUUGUUGCAGUUAAAAAGCUCGUAGUUGGAUUUCUGGUGGGAGCGAUCGGUCUGGCGCUUAGCGCGAGUACUUGCAUCGUCUCCGGCCAUCCUUGGGGAGAGUCUGUCUGGCAUUAGGUUGUCGGGCAGAGGAUCCUCAUCGUUUACUGUGAAAAAAUUAGAGUGUUCAAAGCAGGCUUAUGCCGUUGAAUAUAUUAGCAUGGAAUAAUAAGAUAGGACUUUGGUACUAUUUUGUUGGUUUGCGCACCAAAGUAAUGAUUAAUAGGGACAGUUGGGGGUAUUCGUAUUCCGUUGUCAGAGGUGAAAUUCUUGGAUUUACGGAAGACGAACUACUGCGAAAGCAUUUACCAAGGAUAUUUUCAUUAA
rnacentral:rRNA from 1 species